GCGGAUAUGGCUCAGUGGUAGAGCGCCCGGCAUCUGGCCGGGAGGUCGCGGGUUCGAUUCCCGUUAUCUGCUCCA
rnacentral:tRNA from 1 species